GUCGGGGUGACCCGCAGGAAAGUGCCACAGAAAACAGACCGCCGAUGGGCCGGGCAACCGGUCACAGGCAAGGGUGAAACGGUGCGGUAAGAGCGCACCAGUGGCCGGGGUGACUCGGUCAGCUAGGUAAACCCCAUGCGGAGCAAGAUCAAACCGGGGAACGGGUUGUCCGCCUCCGGCCUCGGCCGGUACCCCAGGUAGAUCGCAAAGAUGGAUGAUCGCCCAACGACAGAAUCCCGCUUAUCGCCCCACUCGCACA
rnacentral:RNase_P_RNA from 1 species